rnacentral:rRNA from 1 species
GACGAACGCUGGCGGCGUGCUUAACACAUGCAAGUCGAACGAAGAGCGAUGGAAGCUUGCUUCUAUCAAUCUUAGUGGCGAACGGGUGAGUAACGCGUAAUCAACCUGCCCUUCAGAGGGGGACAACAGUUGGAAACGACUGCUAAUACCGCAUACGAUCUAAUCUCGGCAUCGAGGAUAGAUGAAAGGUGGCCUCUACAUGUAAGCUAUCACUGAAGGAGGGGAUUGCGUCUGAUUAGCUAGUUGGAGGGGUAACGGCCCACCAAGGCGAUGAUCAGUAGCCGGUCUGAGAGGAUGAACGGCCACAUUGGGACUGAGACACGGCCCAGACUCCUACGGGAGGCAGCAGUGGGGAAUCUUCCGCAAUGGACGAAAGUCUGACGGAGCAACGCCGCGUGAGUGAUGACGGCCUUCGGGUUGUAAAGCUCUGUUAAUCGGGACGAAAGGCCUUCUUGCGAAUAGUUAGAAGGAUGACGGUACCGGAAAGAAAG